CCAACCUCGUCGUCUCCCUCGUCUGGUUCUUCUUUUGAUGAUUGUUCGCUGUCUGUCUGUCUGUCUGUCUAUCUUGUCUUCGGAAUAUUAAUUCAGGAAAGACAAGCUUUGCGCAACAAAUGCAAAUGUCAUUGCCUUCCGUAAAACAACCCGAUGUCAUCACCUGCAAAGCUGCGGUGGCAUGGGGAGCUGGAAAGCCUUUGGUGAUAGAGGAAGUGAAUGUGAAUCCACCUCAGGCAAUGGAGAUAAGGAUCAAAGUCGUCUGCACCUCUCUC